UACUAUUAUUAUUCCCAUUUUAUAGAUGAGGAAACGGAGGCACAGAGGAUUCCAGUAAGAUUCAGGAAUUUCUCCAGGGUAAAAGGGAAUCCAACCCGGGUAAUACUCGGAAUGCUUUCUGUUGCAAGUUUAAAAGCUCAAAUGAAACUAACAUUUAAGCAAAAACAACAAUGUAUUAGCUCAUGCACAUAAAAAGUGCACGGGGGUAGCGGGGAGGGGGGCAGGAGCUCCUCCACCUGUGUCAUCAGUUUCCUAAUAUUUCCCAGUUCCUGAUCCUUUGCUCCUCGGUCAUCCUCACAAGGUGCUCCUUUCUCGCAGGGGACCCAGACUUUAAAACGCAACCCAUGCAAAUGAAGCAAGAAGGCAGAAGUCAAGCCCCUGGACUCGGCUGUUUUCAUUGGUCAGAUUAGAUCACAUGCACUCUAGCCAUGACCCACUCAGAGAGGCCAGAGAAUGCCGUUUGCUGAUUGGCUGAGCGUGGGAGCGAGGACCCCGCUUUGUUCAAGGCUGGGCUGGACCUGGCACUGUGCUCCACCUGCGAAGUCCCCCUCCCUGGGUCAAAGGACCCAGAGUGCAGUCACCACCCCAGGGGCCUGCCACCCUCCUGGCAGUUCAGUUACCCUCCAGUGCAGGGAUGCUGUGCCUCUUCCCCAGGUCAGAGACCAACAGUAGGCCCUGCUUCAGUUUCCUCAUCCUCUAGAAUCAAGGAGGACCCACGACUGCCUCCAGUUCACCCUUGAGGCUUCUGGGGCUUUCCUGAGGCUGAGUUGCCCUCAGCGGCCAGACUACCUGCAGGGAGUUUGCAGGCGCUGGGGCCCGAGUUUGCAGGUGCGGGGCCCAGGGUCCUCCCUCAGUUUCACACCUGCCUGGCCCUGGGACCUUGCACCAAGAAGUCAUUUCCAUGGCAGAAUGCAUCUUACAUCAACGUGUACCGGGUUUUACUUCUUGUAUUCUCUCAAAUCUGAUACUGUCAAACAUCUGCUUUACAAAUCAUGACACACUGUGUCACUCAAGCCCAGUUGCCACCCGGGGCAGGGAGAGUCAAGACAAGUGCAGCAGCCAAGAGGAGACAGCAGUGGCGAGGCUGUGUCCCCAGAUCAAGCUUUGCCUGCAGGCGGCUUAGCGGAUUUGAUGAGAAACAGUCCUAGGCUCCACAUUCUGCCGGUUCACUGUGUCCCAGUCAUGAGGUCCAGAUGCUUCAGGCACUGGGUCCCCCAAGCCCACCGGUGUGUGUCUUUAUAAUCUCUGCUGGACAGCCCUGCAGCGCACUGCCCGCCAUGCUGGCUGCACAGAACAGGCAUCUCCAUCCCUCUUCAGUGUUGCUCAAGAGAAUAACCUGGGUCCUGAACCUGGAACUGGCUUCAGGGGAUUCAGAGACUCCAUCAAGAAGGCCUGAAGGUGUGCACUCCACUCCAUACUUCCUGCUCUCAUCUCACCAGCAAGGCCCAGAACUCUGAGCGGGCCUCCCGGGCUGCUCAGCUAUCAGUAAAGGAGUUAGUUCCCGGUGCCCAUGUGCUCUGUACCCCACUGCAUAGGGGAGAGGGCAGGCGCCAGGCAUCCUUCCAUCCUUGUCCUUGAUGUCACUUUAACACCAUGGGAACCUUGACAUCCUUCACACAUCCUUCUAUAGACAGUGCUGGGGCUUCACCAGACAUGGCUGUGUCAGCCAGCAGUGGGGACACCCCUUGGCCAUAAUUCAGCUGCCCAGAGGGGAUGACUUUCCGGGAUCCACACGGGUGCUGAAGGGGCUGGUGGAGAUGACAGCUGGCUGAUCCCAAGGACAAGCAGGGACUGCACUGGGACUUAAACUCUUAGGGGUGUUUCCGGUUGUUCGUGGUGCACAAUUCCACCACGAGCAGCCUUGUCCUUGCUUCCUUGGGAAGCUGCGUCUCCAGGUGGGAGCUCUCUGAGCCACCUGGAGCAGUCACAAUCAGAGACCAGACCUAUUUAUUUACUUAUGUUUUUGAGACAGGGUCUUGCUCUGUUGCUCAGGCUGGAGUGCAGUGGUGUGAUCAUAGCUCACUGCAGCCUCGCUCUCCUGAGCCAAGGGAUCAUCCUUUCUCAGCCUCCCAAGUAGCUGGGACUACAGGUGUGCACCACCAUACCUGGCUAUAUCUUUUUUUGUAAAGAUGAGGUUUCGCUGUGUUGCCCAGGCUGGUCUUGAACUCCCGCCUCAGCCUCCAACG
rnacentral:lncRNA from 10 species